rnacentral:rRNA from 1 species
AUUGAACGCUGGCGGAAUGCUUUACACAUGCAAGUCGAACGGCAGCACGGACUUCGGUCUGGUGGCGAGUGGCGAACGGGUGAGUAAUGUAUCGGAACGUGCCCAGUCGUGGGGGAUAACGUAGUGAAAAUUACGCUAAUACCGCAUACGAUCUAUGGAUGAAAGCGGGGGAUCGCAAGACCUCGCGCGAUUGGAGCGGCCGAUAUCAGAUUAGGUAGUUGGUGGGGUAAAGGCCUACCAAGCCAACAAUCUGUAGCUGGUCUGAGAGGACGACCAGCCACACUGGAACUGAGACACGGUCCAGACUCCUACGGGAGGCAGCAGUGGGGAAUUUUGGACAAUGGGCGAAAGCCUGAUCCAGCCAUUCCGCGUGCAGGAUGAAGGCCCCCGGGUUGUAAACUGCUUUUGUACAGAACGAAAAGGUUUCUACUAAUACUAGGAGCUCAUGACGGUACUGUAAGAAUAAGCACCGGCUAACUACGUGCCAGCCGCCGCGGUAA